UGAAGAAUAAGUAAUUCUUCACCCUGGUCGAUCGACCAAGCCAGCCAUACUUUCGGUCCAACCACGCCACGGUCGUGAGAUGGAAAAAAAAAACCACCGUCCCGUGACUGUAAAAUUACAGCAUGGUUGAGCUAAUCUUACGUUUUGGAGGUUGACUCAAACUAGCCCACCUCCACGUCCUUUUCUAGUCCGCCGCGAACAGUUGUUUUUAGUAUUUUCUAAAAAUAAGAGGCCGCGAACGGUUUUGAGAGUAUUGACGGCGAACGGCGGCGAUGUGCUCCACGGGUUGGCUCGAAGGGAAGCCGUCGGUGCAUGGCGGUGUGCUGCUCGGCGGUGUGGUUAGAGGACGGUUGGCUCGAGGUUGUGUUCGUCGCUGGGCAGGUGAUCUGGCGUGAUGUUUGGCGGCUGCCUAGGUCUUGGGAGGCGCCAUGAUUGGUGAUCGCGGCGCAGCUUUGGGUUGUGAUGGCGAUGUCAUGAAACUGCAGUGGGUGGUUGUGCCUGAUCUGCUCCGUGUGUGUAAGUCCAUGGGAGGAGGUGAGCAUCUUCAAUUCUAAUGCUCUCUUUUACAAAUUUUCAUUAUGAAGGGUUCAGUACUAGAUUUGCUGUGUUGUCAUUGUUAUCUGGGAGGUGAUGAUGUGUUUUAUUUUGCAAGAGCUCAUGGAAGAACCGGGAGAUCAGUUGUUAGUCACUGUCGUGCUUCUUCCUUUCUGAAUAAUCUUGGGGAGGGCCAAUGACAGAGUUUUACAUCAGUUUUUGGGGACAGGUAGAAAACAGAGAAGGGAGGGGAUAGGAUCGAGCGCCCACAGAUGAAAGCUGAACCCAUACCGUGUUUCCUUUUGUUUCUUAUUAGGCCCUUGUGCUCCUGGAUUUUUUUUUUGGUCUAAUGGCUGUUACUUGGUGCGUGCGAUGGGAGGUCCAGGAAGUACUUCUCAGCAAGAGCAAUGCCUCUGCAUGUGGCAACAAGAUCCAAGUAGAUUGCUUGAUAACCGACUAUAGGAUUCAUGCCUCUUCUAGCCUGAACUUAGUAAGCUGCGGAAAUAAACAAUAGAAAAGGUAAAGAACCACCACAGGGAUAUGCAACAGUGGGAGUUUUGAGUACUAUCUGGAUGUGUUCUCAGUUCUUUUCUGGUAUAUAUGCUUGUGUGCCUCUCCUACGUACAUGGUGUUUUUUUGGAUAGGUUCGUGAGAUACAAGUGGAUGAUAUUUAUGGAUUGCACUUGGCUUGUCAUGUGUUCAUGACUGCCUGUCAGAGCUGGUAUCCUCAGCAAACUGUUUUUGCUUCUUGUAAAGCGGGGUGUGACAAUUUUGUCUAAAGAAGUAACUUAGAUACCACCUUAUGUGCCGGUGUUUGUGUUCUUGCAUGUAACACUCUGUAACUGCUUCUUUGGAUCACUCUCUAGUGUUUGCACUGUGGUGGGUGGUGGUCGAUUCGCAGCACCGGAGCAGUUGUGCAGGGUCGCGGGUGGUCGUCGAUUCGCAGCACCAGAGCAGUUGUGCAGCGUCGCGGGCGGUCGUUGUGCAGCGUUGUUGGUGGUCCUCGGUGUCAGGCUACGUUGACUAUUGACUUGCUUGUUGAUGUGGUCUGCAUCUCCUCCCACCACGAUGGUCGGCAACCAGGCCUUCACUGCUGGAGCUCUUCAGUAUCGCCCCCUCUACAUAAAUUUGCAGGAAGCCAUAAAGUUUACAGGCACUACUCCCAGCAGGGUUAAGAAAAUCCAUUUUCAAUGGAGUCAAUAUUCUUUAGAAUUUCAUUUUGAUGACUGUCAGGGUCAGGCGCACCAAAGGAUGGACUGUGGUUCCAUGUCCAAAGGGACAAUACUGGACCGGCAGAUGAGCGGGCUCUUGCAGAUGCAACUCCUUCUGCUGCUCAUCAACCUGUCGUUUCAUUCUCUCCUCCUUGGCUAGUCCGUCAAAGGCCACCAGAUGCUUUCCGAACAAGAAGUUUCCUGCAAAGAGAUGGGAGAGGGCAGCGACACCCAGUGAACAUAAUUUUGUUGAUCCUCCAGCAAGUGUGACCAAGAAUGUUGGAUCAAAGCUUUGUUCUGGAAGUUCUAAUCGAUAGUUUCUGUAUUGCAUACAAAGGGUAAUCAAUGCUGGGCUAAAGAUCUCUGCUACAUGUUCCAUGGGUUGAAUAUAACCAAUCAUGUUGCUUAUUUUUAGGAGAAGUUCAGACCUGUGAGAAACCAGAUGUAAAUUACAAAGCUGCUCCUAUUUAUAUAUUUGUAGAUGUUCUUUAUUGUGCCUAGUUGCUGUAA